UUCAGCUGCUAGGUCAAUCUACUACAGAGAUAUAAGCAUCCAUUGCACAUCUUGUAUGCUCUGUAGUCAUGACAAUGUCAGCAUGUGUUUAUGUGUGAGGGGAUAGGCUUGUCAUGACAACUGGUCUUGUCAUACACUUAGUACACUUUU